rnacentral:rRNA from 1 species
AGGACGAACGCUGGCGGUGUGCUUCACACAUGCAAGUCGAACGAGGUAGCAAUACCUAGUGGCGGACGGGUGAGUAACGCGUGGGAAUCUGCCUUAAGAUGGGGGAUAGCUAGCCGAAAGGCUAAUUAAUACCGCAUAAGUAUGUAAUUCGACAGUUUUACAUAUAAAAGGAGCAAUUCGUCUUAAGAUGAGCCCGCGUCCGAUUAGCUAGUUGGUAGGGUAAAAGCCUACCAAGGCGACGAUCGGUAGGUGGUCUGAGAGGAUGAUCACCCACAAUGGAACUGAGACACGGUCCAUACUCCUACGGGAGGCAGCAGUGGGGAAUUUUACGCAAUGGGCGAAAGCCUGACGUAGCGACACCGCGUGAGCGAAGAAGCCCUUUGGGUGUAAAGCUCUGUCAGCUGGACGAAAAAAUGACGGUACCAGCAGAGAAGCAUCGGCUAACUACGUGCCAGCAGCCGC